AGAAAUGGAAAGAUUCUUUAUAUUUUGAUUUCCUUUCAACUUAGUUUUCGAUUACAGAGGUACAAUGGUUUUAUAGAGAUUUACAUCUAAACCUAGUGUACCCUUGACUGUCAUAGCUGGCUAUUGACCAUCACGUGGCAUAGCUGUCGUCACACGAUCCUAAGCGCGUCAAAACGGUUUUGCGUUGUCACCUCCGUACCAUUUGUCUGUUCUGCUAAUGCUCUGUUUUUGGCUUUUGUCGCAGGUAGCCGUUGUACGGUUUCUUCUGCUUUUGCAUUGUGUUGGACUUGGGCUUGUUUCGGAUUGGGCCUGCUAUCAGUCUCUGGGCCUGUGUCGUUGAUACUCCCCCUCAAACUUGGAGGAGGUGGGAAAUCGACGCCAAGUUUGAAUCGCAGAGAUUCGAAAGGAGCAGUGGCUAGAGACUUUGUGAAGAUAUCGGCGAGCUGCAAGUGACCCGGUAUAUGAUUCACAAUGAGUUCACCAAAAGCAACCUGCUCACGCACAUAGUGAUAAUGUGUGGCGAAGUGUUUGGUGCGAGGAUGAAACGCAGGAUUCGCUGUAAGAUAGACAGCCGAGAGGUUAUCACAGAAGAGUUCCGGUUUCUGAAGUUGCGGAACACCCAAAUUUCGAAGCAAAUUAACGAGCCAAGUGAUUUCAGAAGCUGUCUCCGACAUUGCUCUGUAUUCAGCUUCAGUGGAGCUUUUGGCGACUGUCGGUUGCUUUCUUGAGCACCAAGAGAUUAAAUUGUUGCCAAGGAAGGUACAGAACCCCAUAGUUGAACGGCGUGUUCCCAGGCAACCUGCGUGAUCACUAUCACUAUAAGCCCGUAGUUUGCAAUCCGUUGCUUUGUUGAAUGCAAUUCCCAUUGUUGUUGUGCCUUUUAUGCAGCGAAGGAUUCGCUUGAGAAGAUGAAAGUCUGACACGGUUGGUGCGUGCAUCUUCUGACAAACAUAAUUAACUGAGAACUGAAGAUCUGGCCUGGUAAGAGUGAGAUACUGUAAUUUACCGGCUAAGCUGCGGAAGUAGGUUGGAUUGUCAAAAAGCUCUGUUUGAUGUGGAGCUCUCUCAGGUUGCAGGGGCAGUGGUGUUGCAACAGGAGAGCAAUGUGACAUUGCAGCUGUGGCAAGCAAAUCCUCAGCAUAUUUCUGUUGAGAAAGAAACAACCCCUUUGAGUGGAAUUGAGCUUGAAUUCCUAGAAAGUAGCUCAAUCUCCCCAAAUCUUUCAUUUUGAACUGUUGGUUGAGAUCAUGAAGAAGAUUAGAGAGGAGCUUGGAGUUGUUGCCUGUAAUUACCAUGUCAUCAACAUAAAGGAGAAGCAUGAUCACAUCUCUGUUCUUCACACAAAUAAAAAGAGACGGGUCAGACAUACUACAUAUGAAACCAAAACUCAGCAAAAAUUUGCUAAAUUUAUCAAACCAAGCCCUUGGGGACUGCUUGAGUCCAUAGAGAGAUUUGUGGAGCAAGCACACAUGAUUAGGAUGAUCUUUAUCCACGAAUCCUGCUGGUUGUUUCAUAUAGACUGUUUCAAUCAAAUCUCCAUGGAGGAAGGCGUUUUUGACGUCCAUUUGUUUUAGUUCCCAUUCCAUGACUGUUGCAAGAUGAAGAACAGCCCUGACAGUUGCAGAUCUGACAACAGGAGAGUAUGUCUCAAGAUAAUCAAUACCCUCUUCUUGCUUGAAUCCCUGAGCAACAAGUCUUGCUUUAUACUUGUCCAGAGAUCCAUCAGCAUGUAGUUUUACUCUGAACACCCAUUUGGAGCCUAGCACAUGCAUCUUUGAUGUAAGUGGAACAAGUGACCAGGUUUGCGUUUCAGAACAAUUUCCCAUUUCUUCUACCAUAGCAGCAGUCCACUUUGGAUCUUUUAAAGCUUCAGUGACUGUAGUAGGCAUAGGAUAUGAAACUUUAUGUGUAAGGAGAGCAUACCUUGGAUUUGGCUUUACAAUUCCUUUCUUCAGCCUAGUUGUCAUAGGAUGAAUAGAUUCUGUUGUUGAAGGCAAGAUGCUUGAAGAUACUGAAUUUUCAGGUCUAAGAGGUGAUGAUGGAGCGCUGUUGCCAAUAGGUGAAGAUUCAGGAACUGCAUCAUUUUCUUGGGAGGUAAUACUUUGUAUAGGUGUAAUACAUAAUGGCUCAUUUGGCUCAUUUGAUGUGUUGUUGCUUGUCUCCCCCUCGAUAUUUAGAACUGUGAGCUGGUCUUGUUGUUGUUGAUCAAUGUUGGUUGCAGGAACACUGGAGCUGGUGGUUUCUGCGGCCAUUUGUUCUUGUUCUGAAGAAGACUGCAUAUUUGAGAAGCCUUUUACCCAUGCAUCAAGCAAAGGCGUAAGAGAAGACUGCUGCGAGCCAACAUAAGUAUCACUGAAGGGAAAGGAGCUCUCAUCAAAAAUAACAUGCCUACUCAAAUACACACGGCCAGUUGGUGGAUAGUAGCAGCGAUACCCUUUGUAUUUCUCAGUGUAUCCAAGAAAGAUACACUUAAGAGACCGCGGAUCAAACUUAUUUUGUGCAUAAGGUCGGAGAGUGGGAAAGCAUGCACAGCCGAAUGUUCUUAGAGCAGAGUAGUUUGGUGUCUUACCAAAUAGAGCUUCAUAUGGAGUUGUGGAAUUAUCCAGCACUGUUGUAGGUAGCAAGUUACUGAGAAAGUUAGCUGUAAAGAAGGCUUCAACCCAAAAUUUAUGUGGUGCUUUACUCUGGAACAGUAGUGUAAGCCCUCUUUCAGUGAGUUGUCUGUGCUUCCUUUCUGCCAAUCCAUUCUGUUGUGGUGUGUGAGGACAAGAAACAUAAUGUUGUAUACCAGAUUCUUGAAGAUGUUUUAAGAACCUGUUACUUAUGAAUUCACCUCCUCCAUCACUCUGAAACGUUCCUAUUUUUGUUUGUAAGAGAUUCUCAACAAAACUCUGAAACUUGAUGAAUGUUGAACAAAAAUCUGACUUGUGCUUUAGAGGAUAAAACCAACAAUAUCUUGAUAGAUUGUCAAUGAAGAUUACAUAGUAGUGAAAUCCUUGAAUAGACGAAACAGGAGCUGGACCCCAGAGAUCACAGUGAACUCUCUCUAGAGGUCUUGAUGCAACAAAAUCUGAAGAAAUAAAUGGCAACCUCGAACUCUUCCCAAGCUGACAUGAUUCACACAUCUUGCUGGUACUUUUAUUGACUUGGAUCACCUUAUUCUUGACUAAAGACUGAAGAACUUGAGAGUUUGGAUGUCCCAAUCUCAUAUGCCAUACUUCAUCACUUGCUUUGACUUGCCUAGUAGAGUAGAACAUCUGAAACUUGGGAUUCUCCAAUUUGUAAAGACCAUCACUUGUGCUGCUUCCCUUUGUCAGAACCUUGUGAGUUACUUUGUCCUUUACAAGAACACCAUCAGCAUCAAACGUGAAGGAACAAGGAUAGUCCUUAGUCAAUUUUGACACUGAUAAAAGAGACUUAGCUAUUUCAGGACAGACCAAAACAUCUUUUAAAGGGAGAUUACCUGAAGUGGAAGGGAGACUUGCUGAGCCAAUAUGAGUAAUAGGCAAGAAAUUCCCAUCACUAGCCAUUACUGUAUCAUUACCAAAGUAGGGUUGCAUUUGUUGCAAGCGUGAGCUGUUGUUUGUGAUGUGUGCUGUAGCAGCAGAGUCAGGAAUCCAACCAUUGUCGUCUGUAACAUCAGUGAUGUGGAGAGCUGAGAACGCAGCAGCUGCAGUUUCUGACUGUUGGUAGGAGUCAUCAAACCGAUGCCAACACUGAAGCGCAGGAUGACCUCUUUUACCACAGAUUUGACACACGGGUUUCUCUCCUGUUGAGACUGAAGAACUGGAAGAAGAGAACUGUUGUUGGAAUCCACGACCACGGGUUGAGAAAUUUCCUUUUCCCCUGUUUCUUCCUCCACGACCUCUGUUUGAAGAUCUGAAAGUGUUGAACGCCAGAUGCGGUGAAACAUCACUUGCAUUGUAACUCUGAAGCCUAUCAUCGAACCCUUUUAAGCGAUAGACCACAUCUUCAUAAGAUGGACCAGGAGAAGCAUCAAGAGAGCUUUCAAGAGAAGUGAUUAGAGGUUCAUACUCUCGUGUUAAACCAUGAACCAUAGCAAAGACUUUCAUUUUUUUCAGCAACAGGGCUUCCAACAGAGGCUAGUUGGUCACAAAUGUUUUUGAGAUACCGCAAAUACUCCUCCAUGGUUUUCCCUUCUUUUGAUAGACCAUGGAGUCGACGUUGCAGCUCAAAAAUCCGAGAAGAAGAGAUACGAUUGAAAUGUUUUGCGAGAUUUUUCCAUACCUCAUAAGAUGUUUUAGAACCAACAACCACACUGAGAAUGUCUUCAGACAGUGAUCCGAGUAACCAUGCCAUAACCACUUGAUCGAGACGACACCAAGCUUCAUACUCAGGGUUUUGGACAGCUUCAGUGACGCCGGUGGCUUGUGGUCCGGAAACAAUGCUGACAGGAGCUGUGAUUGUGCCAUUGACAAACCCCAGAAGACCUUGCCCAGAAAGAAAAGAUUCGAACUGAGAUUUCCAAAGGAUAUAGUUGCGUUCGGUGAGUUUCACCGUAACACAGUUGGAGAUUUUUAGGGACGGAAGAUCAUAGAGCUCCAUGGAUUUGUCCAUGGCUCUGAUACCAUGAAAGAUAUGAAGAGAAAUGGAAAGAUUCUUUAUAUUUUGAUUUCCUUUCAACUUAGUUUUCGAUUACAGAGGUACAAUGGUUUUAUAGAGAUUUACAUCUAAACCUAGUGUACCCUUGACUGUCAUAGCUGGCUAUUGACCAUCACGUGGCAUAGCUGUCGUCACACGAUCCUAAGCGCGUCAAAACGGUUUUGCGUUGUCACCUCCGUACCAUUUGUCUGUUCUGCUAAUGCUCUGUUUUUGGCUUUUGUCGCAGGUAGCCGUUGUACGGUUUCUUCUGCUUUUGCAUUGUGUUGGACUUGGGCUUGUUUCGGAUUGGGCCUGCUAUCAGUCUCUGGGCCUGUGUCGUUGAUACCUGCAAUGUUAGAAAGAAAAAUCAAAGCACAAGAGAGACAAAUUUCUUUCUUUUCUAUUUUUCCUAAAGGAGAGUGAAAAAUUCCAAUACUAAUAAUAGUUUAUGUUAAAAUGGAAGC
rnacentral:lncRNA from 1 species